rnacentral:rRNA from 1 species
UACGAAGGGUGCAAACGUUGCUCGGAAUUAUUGGGCGUAAAGCGCACGUAGGCGGCAUUGCAAGUCGGAUGUGAAAUCCCUCGGCUUAACCAAGGAAGUGCAUCCGAAACUGCAGUGCUUGAGUACUUAAGAGGAGCGCGGAAUUCCCGGUGUAGUGGUGGAAUGCGUAGAUAUCGGGAGGAACACCAGUGGCGAAAGCGGCGCUCUGGGCCUAAACUGACGCUGAGGGGCGAAAGCGUGGGGAGCGAACGGG